GUGGGACCCUGAACUGUGCAGUCAAUUCACCUUUUCUGGCCUGUACGAUUGUGAUUGUCGGAGGCUUAUUACCUCCAGGAGUCAGCGGCAACUCCUUGACCGCCCGUGGAUC